UAGCGUAUUAGCGGAAUUGUGCCCACCACUACCUCAGAGACAAGAAUGUCUCGAGGCAAAAACCUGGAGAAGGGGUACAGAAACAGUUCUGCUGCUUUGAAGGUCCCAAUGAGCACAGUGGCUUACAUCAUCUGUAGAUG